UACGAGGGGGGCAAGCGUUGUUCGGAAUUAUUGGGCGUAAAGGGUGCGUAGGCGGUGCGGUAAGUCUGUUGUGAAAUCCCCGGGCUCAACUCGGAGUCUGCAUCAGAAACUGCCGUGCUGGAGUGUGGGAGAGGUGAGUGGAAUUCCCGGUGUAGCGGUGAAAUGCGUAGAGAUCGGGAGGAACACCUGCGGCGAAAGCGGCUCACUGGACCAUAACUGACGCUGAUGCACGAAAGCUAGGGGAGCAAACAGG
rnacentral:rRNA from 1 species